rnacentral:lncRNA from 1 species
UUUGGUAGCCUAGGAUCCCUAGAGGAUCCCGGCCCAUUCCCUGGCUAUAGAAACCGCGGGCCGAAUUGUCCACAGGGAAAAAAAAUAUUUGUUUGGUGAGCCACGCUCCCAUCCGGAUCCGCGGGGGAGGACGGCGAUUUCGUCCCCAGCCUCAUGAGGUCGGGAAGGGGUUCCCGCACCCACAUUUGUGAACCUCGCCGGCGCCCAUCCCCUGCCUUCACGAACCCGCCGCCGCCCGUCCCCUACUCUUCCUCGUGCACCCACCGUCGCUCGUCCCCUCGUCUUCCUUGCGCACUCGCCGUCGCCUCCUCCUCACCCUCACGCACUUGAGGCCAGCUGCAGAACGAGGUCGGACGGCGGAGACGAGGUCGAGGUCUACGACCUCCUCAACUUGCGCAAGACUGCCGAGACUGCAGGGACAAGCUCUUUGCUGCCUCGUCAGCUGCUAGCUGACUUCUCGUGAGUACUCCUUUUUUCUUUCAUUCUUGCCUUCACAUCCACCACCCGCGCCUUGCUGUAGCUUAGUCGUACGUCAUAGUUUGCUGUAUGAACACCAGAAGAAGAAGGUCGUGAACAGCAACACGUACACCUUCACGGCCACCAUCUUCCAUAUAUGCUGGUUUGAGUGGAAAGGAUGAUUAAUUUGCACGGUUGCUAUGCUAGCUUGGGAUUGAGAGAUGAAUGUCGAAUGCUUGCUGCUGAUGGAAUUAACUAGUUUGAUAUUUGUAGCAAGGCCCAGGAGCUAGCAAUGUAAGUAGGGUAGAACGUUGAGCUACCUGUGAAGUUCUAGUCUGAAUCUCAAGAACUUCUUUUGCCUUUGUUUGCAGGUUUGUAGUAUGUGAAUAUCUUAUUUGACAAAGUAAUUCUCUGAACUUUUUAUGCACUUUUUUACUGCAUAAGGCCUGAAUUUUUUACUGCCUUUGUUUGCUAUUUCAGUUUUUUUUUCUAGUAAAAUCUGCUAUUUAGUUACCUCUAUUAUUUAAUUGCUUAAAUCUGCUAUUUCAAUUUUGUUUCUAGUAAAAUCUGCCGAUAUUUGAGUUCAGCUAUUUAUGUUUACAUAAGCAAGUGCUUCAUAAACAUCUAAAUCCACACCUUUGUUCCAGUUCAGCAACGUCUUCUCUUUAUUACAGAUGUGCUGAUCCAAUUCAGUUUUCAGAGUAUGUUGACAAUCUGAAUUUAGUUCAAGCAAUACCUUCUCUUUAUUACAUAUGUUUAAGCAGGUGCUUCAUAAACAUCUGAAUUCAGUUCAUCAAUGUCUUCUCUUUAUUACUGAAUAUUGAAUUGAAUAUAAAGGCUUUCAUGUCCCCAAAUACAGAGAGUCUCCAAAUUGGAUAUUGAACUGAAUAUAGAGGAAUUGAAUAUAUAUACAUUUGUCUAAGUUUUCUCAUCAACAGGUGAUACACAAGGGUUUUUCAUCAACAAGUGGUCGCCAGAAGAACUGAAACAUCAAGAUGGCGUUUGCUUUUAGGUCAUGCCAUUCAGGAGAUGAUGCUAAGCUAAAUAAUCACAUCUAUGUGUACACUGAGACUGUUUUAUUAUGAGACUAUGUUUUAUUAUGAUGCACUGAGACUAUGUUUGUGUACACUGAGACUGUUUUAUUAUGAUGCACUGAGACUGUUUUAUUAAGCAGUGUGGAGUUCUCGGCUGCUGUUCUCAUUUUUAAUGCAAGUGUGUUCAAUGAGCAGUGUUCAAUGACAAACAGUGUUCUCAGCUGCUGCUCAUUUUUAUGCAAACAUUUGUGUCAUAGUUCUCAGGUUGACAAAUAUUUUUAUGCAAGUAUGUUCAAUGAGCAGUGUGGUGUUCAAUGAGUAGUGUGCUGAAAUAACACACCUGCUGAAAGAGCGGUGUGGAGUUUCCUGCUGGCCGCCAAAGAGCAGCAGGGGAAGGAGCCCCGUCCGGGUUGACCUGCCCAGGGAAUCUGGAUAACAGGGAUUAUGGCCCCUAGGUGCUCACUCCCCUGGGUUAUCCUCCCUAGCUGCCAAAGGAGCCCUACGUGUCCUCUACUGCGAGAUAGUCACGUGGGCCACCACCACUUUCUUCACGCCUUCUUCACUCGUUUAUAAAUUAGAGUCAACGGACAUUCCUACGGUUUGCCGUCGAGUGUUUUGCUAGCGUUUAUUUCUCCACCGGUUUCCACGAGUGAAGAAAUUAGAAUCCCCUAUCUCCUUUGCAUUGCAUCCUACUGCGUACCAUUUUUCCACGGCGCUCCAGUGUCCUAGUUUGGCCGGC